rnacentral:lncRNA from 1 species
AGCCUUUUCAGAGUUGGAAAUCAGUCAAAUCCUAGUAGUAGCUAGGAUUUAAAGGGAUGGAGGAGGUGUCCUGUUGAUGUCUCUUUUUCCUUCAACAUCAACAAGAAAACCCAAGGUCUUUUUUUCUUAGAGAGGCGUAUUGCUACAUUUGGGGCAAUGCGUACAUAUGUGGUUUCGUUAGCUCCAGCGGGGGCUAAUCCUCUGACAGAGCCACCUCUCACACGAAACACUGAAUGGAGGCGAUCCCGAGAUGGAUGGAGCAGCAGCAGCGCAGGUUGCUGCAGGACAGGACUAAUGGGAAGAUUGGAUGGGAUAAUGGAUCUCCUAAAGUAUCACACACCUAUAGCAACACGCAAACAAAGGAUACCAAUAAAGUAAUACUAUCGUGAAAGGUAUUAGAAAAUGUGAGGUGCUAUACAAAUACCAGUUAUUACAGAUAAGUACCACAGAAUUUGGAGUGCACCUAUGUUGAGCCCUAGCUAUUUCACUUACUAUAAAAUCAAUGUAUCCUCACUGUGUCUUCAGUGAAAUGUAAAAUGGAGUCUGUAUAGGGGUUAGGAACACAGACUCUAGAGUUUGACUGCCUGAGUUUAAAUACCAACUCUACUAUUUACUAGCUGUGUGACCUUAGGUAAAUUACUGAAUCCUUCUGUGUCUCAAUUUUCUCAUUAGUAAAAUGGGAUCAAUGUGAAGAUUAAAUGAGUUAAUGCAUAUAAAGCCCGUAGAAGAGUGCCUCUCUCAAAGUAACCCUAUAUACAUGUUUGCUGUUUCAACUGCAUAAUAAUAUUAAAAGAUUUUUUUCAAUCUUU